rnacentral:rRNA from 1 species
UUGACAUCCAGCGAACUUUCCAGAGAUGGAUUGGUGCCUUCGGGAACGCUGAGACAGGUGCUGCAUGGCUGUCGUCAGCUCGUGUUGUGAAAUGUUGGGUUAAGUCCCGNAACGAGCGCAACCCUUAUCCUUUGUUGCCAGCGAUUCGGUCGGGAACUCAAAGGAGACUGCCGGUGAUAAACCGGAGGAAGGUGGGGAUGACGUCAAGUCAUCAUGGCCCUUACGAGUAGGGCUACACACGUGCUACAAUGGCGCAUACAAAGAGAAGCGACCUCGCGAGAGCAAGCGGACCUCAUAAAGUGCGUCGUAGUCCGGAUCGGAGUCUGCAACUCGACUCCGUGAAGUCGGAAUCGCUAGUAAUCGUGGAUCAGAAUGCCACGGUGAAUACGUUCCCGGGCCUUGUACACACCGCCCGUCACACCAUGGGAGUGGGUUGCAAAAGAAAUAGGUAGCUUAACCUUCGGGAGGGCGCUUACCACUUUGUGAUUCAUGACUGGGGUGAAGUCGUAACAAGGUAAGCGUAGCGAG